rfam:Oscillatoriales cyanobacterium CG2_30_44_21 cg2_3.0_scaffold_1463_c, whole genome shotgun sequence.
GGGCUAGUAGCUCAGUUGUAUAGAGCAAUCGCCUUCUAAGCGAUCGGUCGUGGGUUAGAGUCCCCCCUAGCCUG